rnacentral:rRNA from 1 species
UUCUUCGUCCCCGUUAUGAAGUAAAAAGUUCAGCAAGUGUUCUCGCUAUGGUGAACCAGCGUGAAGGGUCAUUACCGAGUUUACAACUCCCAAACCCAAUGUGAACCAUACCAAACUGUUGCCUCGGCGGGGUCACGCCCCGGGUGCGUCGCAGCCCCGGAACCAGGCGCCCGCCGGAGGGACCAACCAAACUCUUUCUGUAGUCCCCUCGCGGACGUUAUUUCUUACAGCUCUGAGCAAAAAUUCAAAAUGAAUCAAAACUUUCAACAACGGAUCUCUUGGUUCUGGCAUCGAUGAAGAACGCAGCGAAAUGCGAUAAGUAAUGUGAAUUGCAGAAUUCAGUGAAUCAUCGAAUCUUUGAACGCACAUUGCGCCCGCCAGUAUUCUGGCGGGCAUGCCUGUCCGAGCGUCAUUUCAACCCUCGAACCCCUCCGGGGGGUCGGCGUUGGGGAUCGGGAACCCCUAAGACGGGAUCCCGGCCCCGAAAUACAGUGGCGGUCUCGCCGCAGCCUCUCCUGCGCAGUAGUUUGCACAACUCGCACCGGGAGCGCGGCGCGUCCACGUCCGUAAAACACCCAACUUCUGAAAUGUUGACCUCGGAUCAGGUAGGAAUACCCGCUGAACUUAAGCAUUCAA